GACGAACGCUGGCGGCGUGCCUAAUACAUGCAAGUAGAACGCUGAAGGAGGGGCUUGCUUCUCCGGAUGAGUUGCGAACGGGUGAGUAACGCGUAGGUAACCUGCCUGGUAGCGGGGGAUAACUAUUGGAAACGAUAGCUAAUACCGCAUAAGAGUAGAUGUCGCAUGACAUUUGCUUAAAAGGUGCAACUGCACCACUACCAGAUGGACCUGCGUUGUAUUAGCUAGUUGGUGAGGUAACGGCUCACCAAGGCAACGAUACAUAGCCGAACUGAGAGGGGGAUCGGCCACACUGGGAGUGAGACACGGCCCAGAGGCCUACGGGAGGCAGCAGUAGGGAAUCGUCGGCAAUGGGCGGAAGUCUGACCGAGCAACGCGGCGGGAGUGAAGAAGGAUGUCGGAUCGUAAAGCUCGGUUGUAAGAGAAGAACGAGUGUGAGAGUGGAAAGUUCACACUGUGACGGUAUCUUGCCAGAAAGGGACGGCUAACUACGUG
rnacentral:rRNA from 1 species